rnacentral:ncRNA from 1 species
GAGGCGUAACCGAAAAGCCUAAGAUAGAGUAGGAA